GUGAAUCAUCGAAUCUUUGAACGCACAUUGCACUCCCUGGUAUUCCGGGGAGUAUGCCUGUUUGAGGGUCGUUAGAAGCCAAAUCGAUGCAUCGCUCUUUUUUUUGAUGGUGAUCGCGUCGGAAAUGAGCCGUCUUUCAAAUGUUAAUUGAUGUCAAAGUGGCUUAAAAUUCACCCAUCCGGUACGAUUAAAGAGUAUUUAAGAUCAAUUUUGAUUAAGAACGCGCG
rnacentral:misc_RNA from 1 species